AAAUGAAUUGACGGGGACCCGCACAAGCAGCGGAGCAUGUGGUUUAAUUCGAAGAUACGCGAAGAACCUUACCAAGGCUUGACAUCCCUUGACCGCCGUAGAAAUACGGUUUUCCAGCAAUGGACAAGGAGACAGGUGGUGCAUGGUUGUCGUCAGCUCGUGUCGUGAGAUGUUCGGUUAAGUCCGGCAACGAGCGCAACCCUUAUGAUAUGUUGCCAAUAUUCAGUUAGGAACUCAUAUCAGACUGCCGUGGAUAACACGGAGGAAGGUGGGGAUGACGUCAAAUCAUCAUGCCCCUUACGUCUUGGGCAACACACGUGCUACAAUGGGCGCAACAAAGAGCAGCGAGCAUGCAAAUGUAAGCGAAUCUCAAAAAAGCGUUCUCAGUUCAGAUUGUGGGCUGCAACCCGCCCGCAUGAAGCAGGAGUUGCUAGUAAUCCCGAAUCAGAAUGUCGGGGUGAAUGCGUUCCCGGGUCUUGUACACACCGCCCGU
rnacentral:rRNA from 1 species